AUUGAACGCUGGCGGCAGGCCUAACACAUGCAAGUCGAGCGGAUGAAGGGAGCUUGCUCCUGGAUUCAGCGGCGGACGGGUGAGUAAUGCCUAGGAAUCUGCCUGGUAGUGGGGGAUAACGUCCGGAAACGGGCGCUAAUACCGCAUACGUCCUGAGGGGGAAAGGGGGGGUUCUUGGGACCUCCCGCUACCGAAUGAGCCUAGGUCGGAUUAGCUAGUUGGUGGGGUAAAGGCCUACCAAGGCGACGAUCCGUAACUGGUCUGAGAGGAUGAUCAGUCACACUGGAACUGAGACACGGUCCAGACUCCUACGGGAGGCAGCAGUGGGGAAUAUUGGACAAUGGGCGAAAGCCUGAUCCAGCCAUGCCGCGUGUGUGAAGAAGGUCUUCGGAUUGUAAAGCACUUUAAGUUGGGAGGAAGGGCAGUAAGUUAAUACCUUGCUGUUUUGACGUUACCAACAGAAUAAGCACCGGCUAACUUCGUG
rnacentral:rRNA from 1 species